AUUGAACGCUGGCGGCAUGCUUUACACAUGCAAGUCGAACGGCAGCGCGGGCUUCGGCCUGGCGGCGAGUGGCGAACGGGUGAGUAAUACAUCGGAACGUGCCCAGUAGCUGGGGAUAGCUCGGCGAAAGCCGGAUUAAUACCGCAUACGACCUGAGGGCGAACGCGGGGGAUCUUCGGACCUCGCGCUAUUGGAGCGGCCGAUGGCAGAUUAGCUAGUUGGUGGGGUAAAGGCCUACCAAGGCGACGAUCUGUAGCUGGUCUGAGAGGACGACCAGCCACACUGGGACUGAGACACGGCCCAGACUCCUACGGGAGGCAGCAGUGGGGAAUUUUGGACAAUGGGCGAAAGCCUGAUCCAGCAAUGCCGCGUGUGUGAUGAAGGCCUUCGGGUUGUAAAGCACUUUUGGCGGGAACGAAAAGGAGUGGGCCAAUACCACGGUUCGAUGACGGUACCCGCAGAAUAAGCACCGGCUAACUACGUG
rnacentral:rRNA from 1 species